rnacentral:rRNA from 1 species
UACGUAGGGGGCAAGCGUUGUCCGGAAUCAUUGGGCGUAAAGCGCGCGUAGGCGGCCCUGUAAGUCCGCUGUGAAAGUCAAAGGCUCAACCUUUGAAAGCCGGUGGAUACUGCAGGGCUAGAGUCCGGAAGAGGCGAGUGGAAUUCCUGGUGUAGCGGUGGAAUGCGCAGAUAUCAGGAGGAGCACCGGUGGCGAAGGCGGCAUCCUGGACCAACACUGACGCUGAGGAGCGAAAGCCAGGGGAGCAAACGGG